UGCGGGGUGGAGCAGUCUGGUCAGCUCGUCGGGCUCAUAACCCGAAGGUCGGAGGUUCAAUCCCCCCCGCGACCA
rnacentral:tRNA from 1 species